rnacentral:tRNA from 1 species
GGGGGUGUGGCUCAGUGGUAGAGCUUGCCUCUCACGCAUGAAGCCCUGGGAUCGAUUCCCAGGACCACAA